rnacentral:rRNA from 1 species
AUUGAACGCUGGCGGCAGGCUUAACACAUGCAAGUCGAGCGGGGUGAUGGUGCUUGCACUAUCACUUAGCGGCGGACGGGUGAGCAAUGCUUAGGAAUCUGCCCAUUAGUGGGGGACAACAUUUCGAAAGGAAUGCUAAUACCGCAUACGUCCUACGGGAGAAAGCAGGGGAUCUUCGGACCUUGCGCUAAUAGAUGAGCCUAAGUCGGAUUAGCUAGUUGGUGGGGUAAAGGCCUACCAAGGCGACGAUCUGUAGCGGGUUUGAGAGGAUGAGCCGCCACACUGGGACUGAGACACGGCGCAGACGCCUACGGGAGGCAGCAGUGGGGAAUAGUGGACAAUGGGCGGAAGCCUGAUCCAGCCAUCCCGCGUGUGUGAAGAAGGCCUUAUGGUUGUAAAGCACUUUAAGCGAGGAGGAGGCUACUUUAGUUAAUACCUAGAGAUAGUGGACGUUACUCGCAGAAUAAGCACCGGCUAACUCUGUGCCAGCCGCCGCAGUAAAAC